ACCACACAGAAGCAAGAUGAUCUCAAAGACUCCACUUAUCUGGCUGCUGCUUUUCUGGAUUCAGGGUUCCAAUGGACAGACUGUGAUGACUCAGACUCCAGAAUCUCUCUCUGUGUCUGUGGGAGAGACCGUCACUAUCAAAUGCAAAGCCAGUGCAAGCAUUAGCAACGACAUUGCUUGGUACCAACAGAAACCUGGACAGGCUCCCAAGCUUCUUAUCUAUUACACCAGCAACCGUCCCACGGGCAUCCCAGACCGGUUCAGUGGCAGUGGGUCGGGCACUGACUACACAUUCACAAUCAGCAGGGUUGAAGCUGAUGAUGCUGGGGAUUAUUACUGCCAGCAGUAUAAUAGCUGGCCUCUCACAGUGAUACAGCCCAAUACAAAAACCUCCCUAUCAGUGCAUAGUGCUGAGCAUUUCUCACAGCUGCAUGUGAACAGUCAGCUUCACAGAUUUCAUAACAAACAAGAAACAGGAAGUUAA